rnacentral:rRNA from 1 species
GGUCUGGCUGGCGGGUCCGCCUCACCGCGUGCACUUGUCCGGCCGGGCCUUUCCUUCUGGAGAACCUCAUGCCCUUCACUGGGCGUGUUGGGGAACCAGGACUUUUACUUUGAAAAAAUUAGAGUGUUCAAAGCAGGCAUUUUUGCUCGAAUACAUUAGCAUGGAAUAAUAGAAUAGGAC